CAUGUUAGUAGUAGGUGUGCCUUAUACGUUUUUGUUGUUAAAACCUAUUCUUCUGUUGAAAAAUGAAGUCUUUGUUGUAGACAGCAGAGUAUACUACUGUAAUGUACAGGUUCAACUGAUUUGACUUUGAACUAAAAAUAACUUCUUGAGUUUAGUGUUAUUUCAUCUUUUUAUCUUCUUUUCACAAGUAGCUACUGAAAGAAAAUUUA
rnacentral:lncRNA from 1 species